GUGCAGCAGGCGAGAAUACUUUACAAUGUGCGAAAGCACGAUAAGGGAACUCUGAGUGCCUCCUAAGGAGGCUGUUCAGGUGUCUAAAAGCACCUGAAGGAAGGGCUGGGUAAGACCGGUGCCAGCCGCCGCGGUAACACCGGCAGCCCAAGUGGUAGCCACGUUUAUUGGGUCUAAAGCGUCCGUAGCCGGCUGGGUAAGUUCCUUGGGAAAUUUGGCUGCUUAACAGUCAAGCUUUCAGGGAAUACUGCCCCGGCUUGGGGACCGGGAGAGGUCAGAGGUACUCCAGGGGUAGGGGUGAAAUCCAUUAAUCCUUGGGGGACCACCGGUAGCGAAGGCGUCUGACCAGACCGGGUCCGACGGUGAGGGACGAAGGCUAGGGGCGCGAACCGGAUUAGAUACCCGUGUAGU
rnacentral:rRNA from 1 species